rnacentral:rRNA from 1 species
CUUGCUUCUCUUGAGAGCGGCGGACGGGUGAGUAAUGCCUAGGAAUCUGCCUGGUAGUGGGGGAUAACGUUCGGAAACGGACGCUAAUACCGCAUACGUCCUACGGGAGAAAGCAGGGGACCUUCGGGCCUUGCGCUAUCAGAUGAGCCUAGGUCGGAUUAGCUAGUUGGUGGGGUAAUGGCUCACCAAGGCGACGAUCCGUAACUGGUCUGAGAGGAUGAUCAGUCACACUGGAACUGAGACACGGUCCAGACUCCUACGGGAGGCAGCAGUGGGGAAUAUUGGACAAUGGGCGAAAGCCUGAUCCAGCCAUGCCGCGUGUGUGAAGAAGGUCUUCGGAUUGUAAAGCACUUUAAGUUGGGAGGAAGGGUUGUAGAUUAAUACUCUGCAAUUUUGACGUUACCGACAGAAUAAGCACCGGCUAACUCUGUGCCAGCAGCCGCGGUAAUACAGAGGGUGCAAGCGUUAAUCGGAAUUACUGGGCGUAAAGCGCGCGUAGGUGGUUUGUUAAGUUGGAUGUGAAAUCCCCGGGCUCAACCUGGGAACUGCAUUCAAAACUGACUGACUAGAGUAUGGUAGAGGGUGGUGGAAUUUCCUGUGUAGCGGUGAAAUGCGUAGAUAUAGGAAGGAACACCAGUGGCGAAGGCGACCACCUGGACUAAUACUGACACUGAGGUGCGAAAGCGUGGGGAGCAAACAGGAUUAGAUACCCUGGUAGUCCACGCCGUAAACGAUGUCAACUAGCCGUUGGAAGCCCUUGAGCUUUUA